rnacentral:rRNA from 1 species
AACGAACGCUGGCGGCAGGCUUAACACAUGCAAGUCGUGGGGCAGCAGGUUUGUAGCAAUACAGAUGCUGGCGACCGGCAAACGGGUGCGGAACACGUACACAACCUUCCUUUAAGUGGGGAAUAGCCCAGAGAAAUUUGGAUUAAUACCCCGUAACAUUAUGAUGUGGCAUCACAUUAUAAUUAUAGCUACGGCGCCUAAUGACGGGUGUGCGGCUGAUUAGGUAGUUGGCGGGGUAACGGCCCACCAAGCCUGCGAUCAGUAACUGGUGUGAUGGCACGAACAGUCACACGGGCACUGCGAAGCGGGCCCGACUCCUACGGGAGGCAGCAGUAAGUAAUAUUGGGCAAUGGAGGAAACUCUGACCCAGCCAUGCCGCGUGGGGGAUGAAGGUCCUCUGGAUUGUAAACUUCUUUUAUAUGGGACGAAAAAGGGUCUUUCUAGGUCAACUGACGGUACCAUAUGAAUAAGCACCGGCUAACUCCGUGCCAGCCGCCGCAGUAACAC